AGCCAUUGGAAGCCACUGACGGUGUAAGCCCAAGAGGUACAGGAUGAAAUCUGAAUUUUACUGUGACCUGUGUGCCUGCCCAGUGGAGAGUGGAGUGUGUCUGUCACCACAUGCAGAUGUUGAGAAGGUUCUUGGAAACCUGGGUUUGGACGUGGCGUGGAGGUCUGGGCUAGAGAUGAAGAUGAGAAGUUGUCGAUAGACAGAUGAUAAUUGCGGCUGUGGAUGAGGAGAAGCUUACCCAGGGAGAAGAAUGUGGAGAGAGAAGAGAGAUGGCCCAGGAUGAAGUUUUGAGUGGGAGGCAAGGUCUUCUGCUGAGAGUGAAGAAGAGGUGGUGAGGAGUUUGAAAGAAUGAUCAUUCAGAGUGUUGAGAAGCAACUUGCCCACAAAAUCCCCAAUUGCCUGACAGCCUUGGCUCCCCAGUUGAGGUUGGUGGUCCUUAGUGUAUGUGUGUCUCGUCCUGUCCUGCUGAGUGAAUUCCUCCAUCAGGGCUCACCUACCCAGCUGCAGGCUGGGGAGAUGUAUGUACAUAGUGGGAUUUAUCCAGGCCUAGGGCUUUGCCAGAUGGGUGGGGAAAAAAGGGCACAGGAGUCUAAAGUAUUGGCAAAGAGAUGCUAAAAUUCUGGGUCCUGGGAUCUACACUGGGUAGCGAGGGAAGCAAGGCAGAUGGAUGUUUGCAGGGAGAGAGUGGAAUCCUUCACGGGCCAGGCCUUAUGAGGGACCCCUGAGAUCAGAGAGGGCUGGGAGCUGGAACUGGUGGUGACACCCAGGUUUCUGCUUGGGUGGCUGGAUGGGUGAUGAAUGUACAUGAUGAGCAUACAAACCAUUGUAAGAUCUAAGAUUUUUUUCCACCAACACCUCCAGGAACCAGUUUUCAUUUCCUCGAGGGCAUCAAGGCCCCAUUUGAGAAUGCAUGCCUUAGUAGAAUGUAAACUCCCUGAAGGCAGACUUACCUUUGCCUUGUUGGUUGCAUUAUUUCCAACAUUUUGCACAGUGCCUGCAUACAGCAGGCACUUAAUAAGUAUUGGCAAGUGCAGGAAUGGUUACAGACCUCUCCUGAAGAAGAAGGGAGGGCAGGGCAGGCAAGGUGCUCACUGAGUUUAGGCCUGGAGGCAGGAAUGUGGAAGGCUUUGGAAGGCAGUGGGGAAGGAACUGGAUUGUGCAUCCUUGGCUGACCCUGGAAGAAAUGCAGAACUGGAAUUAAAUUAAAGAACGAAAACAAAACCACACCAGGAUUGUCUAAUACCUUCUGUCUGGCAACAGGUUGUUUUUGUUUUGCUCCUAAUAAAAUUCA
rnacentral:lncRNA from 1 species